rnacentral:lncRNA from 1 species
GUUGCCUUCUUUGGACAAAACGAACUCAAAAACACUUUUUUUUUUUUCUACUUCUAGCAUUGAUGCAAAUGCCAUUUCCCGCUUGAGGUUUUGCUUGACUGUCUUUAUCGGGCCAAGAGAGUCCAUUGAGAUGUAAUCAUGCAGCUUCAGCAUCAGAUAUGCUCCUGCACCUUAUCAGAGGGCCGGAAGAGAAAGAAGAAUGGGGGAAAAUCAGUCCAGUCGCACAUGGCAGGAAUAAAAGUUUACUCUCAUCCUUCACUCCCGCUGCAGUCGAUAGGGCUCGCGCUGCUCUUAAACCCAUUACGGAUGUGCUUCGGCCAACUGUGAAACCUCUGUCUGCUCCAUAUCUGCCGCCAACUCCAAUCAACACUGAACUCCAGCGGCCCAAAACAUCCACGGCUGUCAUACACAUGCUUCCAGAGAGCGUCGCCGUGUGAAGGAUUGAGUCCCGCACGCAGUGGAGAGCAGGCCAGGACUCAUUGCUCGAUAACAAAUGAGAGCUCAGAGGGGAAAAGGACCAGAAGACACACACGAAAAACAAGGCAUGCUUUCUACACACACACUUGCUCUUGUUUGUUGCUCUUUAAUUAAAGUCCACACCAUGUGAUGUCAAAUCUCAUCCCCUCCACUGCUCUAUCUUGGAGCACGUCCAUGGCUUAUCACACACGUAUCGAUCCUUUCUGGAAGGUAUGUUUGUUGGAGGGGAUUUGACUUUAUUUUAGAAAGGAGGGCAUCUUGACAUUAUUUUUGUGUGGUUGAUUGGUUAUUUUUUUAGUAUGUACUUUAGUAUGCUAAUGGUCAACAGUUUAAAAGUCUUAAAGGGACAUUAUUUACUCCCCCUUCAAAACUCUGAACACAAAAGAAGAAAUUUUGAUUAAAAAAAAGACAUUAAUAGUUGUUUUUUCCUACUACAGGUAUGGAAGGCAAUGGGUGUCAGCAUCCUGCAAUUUAUCAAAACAUCUUCGUUUGUGUUCAACAGAAGAAAGAAAAAGGUCAAACCUACAUAAGGGAGAAUAAAUAAUGAGGUAAUUUUCAUUUUGGGUGAACUAUCCUUUUAAGCUCAGCAAGGAUAAAUGUAUUUGAAUUUAAAUAGGGUGAGAAUUAGAAUAUUGUCAAAUAUAAU